UCUCUGUAAUCUAAAACCAGUUAUGAGUCUUUAUGUAAAAAGUAAGUUUUAUUUAUAGAAGGAAUUACUUUAAAGGAAAAAAUCUAAGGCCAAGUUGUAUCUUUUAUACACUUCUAUAUUGCAUGUCUAUUUAUGUUACAUAAUUUGUUAUUCCUUCAAAUUUCCUAUGCUAGGAUGAUAAAUCAUCAAACCUGUUUGGGUAUAAAAAUUGGACAUCAAAUAUUUGAAAAAGGAGGAAAAAAAACAAAAAAGUCAAAACCCGAAGAGCUGCGGUCAGAUAAGUAGAUGUCAAUGUAUAGUUAUGAGAAAAAACUAAACAAUGCAUUGUUUGUUAAUUCAGUCUUUUUCUAUGUAAUAUUUCCAAGGCAGACUUUAUUACAUUCCUAGAUGUCAAUUUGAUAUACCAAGAAUAAUGAUGUUUGCUUUGCUUACUGUGGGGGAAAAUUAAAUACUCAGUUCUAUUAAAACAAACUUACUUCUCAGAGGUACUGCUUUCUUGCCCGUGAAGGUUAUAAAGAACUUAGAGCUGUUGCGUCUUGAUCACCUCAGACUUUGUUUUAGGUAACAGAUUAUAUAUGCAGGCAUUUCAUUGCUGAUUUAUGCAUAUAGGACUUUGAUAGGGAUAUUUAAAAAUGGUUCUUUUUCCACAUUUUCUAAUGCUUGAAAUUGUUACAUACACACUGCUAGCACAAGUUAAAAUUCAAACAUUUUUAAGAUUUGUAGACUACAUUACGGCCCCUUUGAAUCGACCAGUUCGCUGUUAGAACCGCAGGAGAGGGAGACAUGCACGGAUCCAGCCGCCGUGCUUUUCUCCUGCUAGCCAGUGCAUUAGCAGUAGGAAAGCACUCUGCAGUCCAACCCCAGCACAGUAGCAGCGCUGCGACUUACAGCAGUUCCUCAGUUCCUAGGAGCAUGAUUAUGCGUGCUUCUGAAGCAAGCCCCUGGACUUCUGUUAGAUUCUUCAAUCAGAACUUUCCUUCAAAUGUUAAGAACCAUCGGGGCCGGGGAUUUAGCUCAGUGGCACCACACCUGCCUGAGUUCAAUCCCCAGUACCGCAAAAAAAAAAAAAAACCGCCAUUUAAAAAAUUACACACACACAAAGGGACUGAGAUGUAGCUCAGCAUAGAGCAGUUGCAUAGUAUGCACAGGCACUGGGGUUUGAUUCCCCCCAACCACACGUGUGUACAUGCACACACUGAGCAGUGUGGUGUGGGCAGCUCUGCCCCAGUCCCAUGGGCUUAGGUACAGAAAUGUCUGCCAAGUUUCAAGGUCAGAGGCUCAAGUUCAGGACUGACCUGUGGGGUAUGUCUUGUUUUUCUCAUCUCAUUUCUUGCAUGUGGCUACUUAUACUACGUUCCUUUUGUGGCUUUUUGUUUUGUUUAGUUUGAGAUAGGGUCUCCCUAUGUCGACCUUGAACUCUCUCCAUCCUCCUGCCUCAGCCUGCUGAGUGCUGGGAUUCUGGGCGUCUGCCACCAUGCCUGGCCCAUAGGAUGUUUUGGAUUCUUACUCGUGCUUCUUAAUUCGGCUUCACUAAGCAUAUUAAAUCAGAGAUGAGUUGACUGAACCCAAC
ensembl:lncRNA